rnacentral:lncRNA from 10 species
GCUGACUGGUCCAUUUUACAGAGAGCUGAUCGGUCCAUUUUACAGAGUGCUGAGUGGUCCGUUUUGACAGAGUGCUGAUUGGUGCGUUUACAAACCUUUAGCUAGACACAAAAGUUCUCCAAGUCCCCUACCUGAUUAGCUAGACACAGAGCGCUGACUGGUGCGUUUACAAACCUUUAGCUAGACACAGUGCUGAUUGGUGCGUUUACAAUCUUUUAGCUAGACAGAAAAGUUCUCCAAGUCCCCAUCCGUCCCAGAAGCCCAGCCGGCUUCAUCUCUCACUGGCAUUGGCAGGGCAGCGGGACUUUGCGACACCUAGCCCGGGCACUCCAGCAGCCCAGAGGGAGCUCCUCCCAGACAAUCAAGAGGGAAAGAGGGGAAGCAGAAAGAGACGGAGACCUGCUAUCUUGGCCAACGAUCCCGUGAAGAGGGAACGGCGGUCUACGCAGGGAAUUCAGCUUCCUAUCAAGCCUAGCAGGUGCUGGGCUUCGUUGCUGUUUCUGGCAGAGUCCUGCUUCUCGCGCCCGCUGCACUGGGUUUGGCGUCUCUGCUGUUCGCUGAGAUCUGCACACUCCAGGAGCCAUAGGGAGGACGCCAGGACAGCCCCGAAGACGAGAAUGCCUCGCUCCUCCUAGGACGGGAGGAAAAUCCCACAAAUCCUGUCUACUCCAAGCAGCCGCGCCCCUCGGGAGACCACCCCAGUUGGAGGGGCCCACUCCAGCCACCGCUACACCGGGACGCGCUCCUCCUCCCCCUGUGCCCGCCCCUUCUCGUGAGGGACCACCAGGAGGCCCCUCGAUUCCCCAGCAAAACACAGGUUUUGGAGCCAGAGUUUCUGAGUUUGAAUGUUUGGUCUGCUACUGACCAACUCUAUGGGCUUGGGUCAAAAACCAAUUACAUUCUAGGAGUGACCUUGAUGACUUAACUCUGUAAUCUGCAGCAACCUCAGAGGAUCAUGGGAUGCAUUAUGCACGUCAUGGAAUGGAUUGUAAUGUGUAACAUCUAUGAAAUCAAAGGAUGAAGAAGAUCGUGCCCAGAGCUCUCCUUGGGGGUGGAUGACAGAAUGAACAUUUACUCUGGGCUCACUGGAAAAGCUCCAACGUCUUGGAAAUUGAGUGGGUAUAAGGAAUGCACAAAUUAGUUUUCCUGUGACAGCAUGCAGAGCACUUUUCCAAGGAGAAUGGCCCGGGAGCAGCUCAGUCCAUGCUUGUCAACCACCCACCUCCAUAUACUCCAGCCCUGGUCCACAUCCCCCAAGGCUCCUUUUGUAGGAUUCCUCAACAGCACAAAUGCACCAACUGUCACUCUAUGUUCUCCUAGACCUACAGGAGGAGUGUGCAGGUGAUAAUCCAGAGGAGGAAGUGUCAUCUAUCAAGGUGGAGUUCACAGCCAAAAAACACCGUACGUAUUCUAAGAGCACUCCCUUGCUGACAACAAAUCUAAGUGAUGAGAAAGGAGGAACUCUCUUGCCUGCUUUUGUCUGGAGACCCUUCCUGGCUUCAGCUUCCUGAUAGGAGUGAGGAUCUGGGGUGUGGUGUGAGAAACAGAAGUCCCAAUAAAGAACUAUGACCAUCCACUAUAGUCUCUGGAAACAGCCAUAUCAUUUAGAUGGUGUGGGUUUGUAUGCAGGAGGGUUGGGAAGUAACUAAGGGUGAGUUAAUGUGUGGUGAUUGUGAAUGUGUUUGUCAAUGUGUGUGUUUCCCCCAGGAAAUGUGGACCCACAUGCACAGCACAGUACAAGUGUCACUUUUCUUGAAUUCCUG